AAAGUUUUCUCCGCUAUCGGGUAGCGGAGUUGCCUUCGCCCUCCACCCUUCGCCCUCCGCCCUCCGCCCGAGGGUCUGUGACAAGUAGUCCAGGCGUAACUGCACUUCUUAUACCCUUAAGAAAAGGUGAGCAGUGCUCAGAAGAAGAGUCCGCAGGAGGGUGGGCCACAUUCUAGCCGCAGCGGCCAGGGCCCAAGGCAGCUGAGCGUGCACAGGAUACCAGGCGUGGGCUGCCUGCAGCAAAUUCUGCGACAGCGUUGUCAGGAGAGGUAAACCGAAUUACCGCUGCCCUUGCCUACAGCCUUCCAUAUGUAGCGAAAUUCUAGCUAAAUCUAUGGACAGUUGCGUUCAAGGACACUUUCUAAAAUUCAGUUAAAUACGCGCUCAAAGCAGCGUAAAAGGUGGCUUCGGAGCAUGUGUGUCAGAUGUAUUCCUGCCCAAGGCUCAGCACCUGCUCCUUUAGGAAACAUCUUUUGUGGCUGAUACGGUUUCUAGAGCAUGCUGUCGGAAUAUCAGUGCGAAGAGUCGGCAAAGAUGCCACCUGGCAGCACACGACCAACGAAGACUACUGAGGGUCACCUGGAUUGCUGGUGGUCGCACAAUACAUAACCCUGUGGACACAGGAGUGACAACUCAUUGCGUGCCAUUGAGAAGACCUAGACUGUGGGGGUCUUUCCUGGCCUAGCAGAGACCCUGUGUCUGCCCAUGUGACUACCAGGUACCCCUUGGAGAAACCAGAGGUGCAUUGGCACCAAGGUCUGCCCGGGCACUUCUGCAACAUGGACUGCCAGGCAGAGUCUCCACUGCACAGAACCCUGAGAAGCACAGUUGCUGCAAAGGGAAAACCACCAAACGACAACAUUCACCACGAGAAGAGAAGGCCCAAGAUGUUAAAAUCAACAUGGCAGCAAGACAAGGAAAAGAAAAAAGUGUAGAUAUUAAGUUUGAGCAACACAGUGGUUGAAAGAGAUGGGAUUAGCAGGAGAGUGGACACUGCUGAAGACCAAGUCAAGUGGGAUCAGAUGCAGGAGCAGCCAGUGCUCAAGCAGGAAGGCACAGAGAGGGCAAACGGUAAGGGGAGAGACUGUCUAGGUAAAGGCAGACUGCGUGUGACAAAUGGGUCCGACAUCUACAUGAGGCCCACAGGAAAAAUACAGAGCAAAGAAGAAAAUAUUUGAAGAAAUAAUAUGAAUAGAUUUCACAUAAUUAAAGAAAAAUGAAUCACCUUAGGUUGAAAGGCUCCAUUGACUACUGAUGAAGAUAUGAAAAAACUGGUAUUUAGACACAUUAUUAGAAUGAAAUAUAGGAGAAUCUGUGGAUAUUGAACACAAAAAAUUUUUGAAAAUUUCUGACAAACAAGAGCACAUCACCUACAAAGGAAGAGAUGCCAAGUUUCAUGAUAAAGUAGUAUUUUAUUUUUAAAAAAGAUGUAUAAAACUUAGAGAGAAGGGAAGGGAGGAAGAAAGAA